rnacentral:lncRNA from 1 species
AUCAAAGUUUACUUCCCCAGGUACGUGACCUUCAAAUACAUUCCUUACAAUACUUGAAUAGAUACCAAUACAACUAUAACCAUUAACUCAUAAUACACACUUAUUCGAUCAGCUUUCCUUUUCCUUUGUUCGUGCCUGAGCCUUCAGGUUGUUCAUACAUAACUGAAAACAUUUAAGUUAAGCAAGGAUGAGAAUUUAAGUGCCCAACAAGUAAUAGCAAUUAUAUAUAAGCUGGAAGAGUAUAAGUAUUCUCUUUACAUAACACUUCUACAACGAAUUGAAAGUUGUGAAGUAAUCUGUACUGAUAAAAAAUUCACAUAACAACUCUCUUUCAAAUUCUUUAAAUUUGGCUCUGGCUCUACCCUUGAAUAGGGUUUAAGAAAUAUACUAUGAACAUUCUUUUCAUUUUCAAAAAGGUUUAGCGGAAUUAUAUCCUUAAACCGUCAUAACUUUUGGGCACAGAGGGUGAUCAGCCCCGUUGUACCCUAUAUUGAUCAAUACUACAUAACUUGAACGAAAUUCAUCGCUCACUCUAUCCGCCUUGCGCAAAAAUCUUCCCAUAUAGGGAUGUUCAUACAUGCCUGGUUCCAAACCCGAAGGUUUUUAAUCUUGCUCAACAAUAAUAUGUAAUUCAACAUAUAUAUACGGGUAAUUGACAAAGGUGUAUCAACAUGUGAACAAAUGCCAUGAUUAUCCAAGUGGGGACACUUGUAUAACCAUUUAUAGAAAUCAAUGAACAGAAUAUAUAUCUGAGCUAACAUGUCGAUAAUCAAAGAGUACAUAAUCUGUACAGGGAUAGAAUAAUUCUGAAACUUCUUACUCAUGUCCAUUGCAUAAAGGAAGUGCAAAGGUAGGAUACUUGCCUGAUUCGCUGAUUACAAAUCUCAACUUAGGUUUUAUCUCUUUAUCACAACCUAUCAAUAAUCAGAUCAUUCGUUCGAUUAGAACAAUAUAUCUUAACACAUAGUACUGUCUAUUACAGUCAGCACAUAGUCUAAUCACAUAAUCACAGUGAUCAUACUUUUAGUUCCUAUUCUAUACUUGAAAUAUUUUUAUACAUUUUUCAAAUAUCUCAUCCAUGCUCUUACAGUAGUCUUUUCUUUCUUUUAUAAGGUCUGACAUUUGUCGGCGUACCGACAGCUUUAUCGGGUAAAUACUGAGUCUAAGACUCUUAUUCUAUACCUCAACAUCUGUAAAUAUCAGACAUCUUAUUUUUAAUCAUUUUCGCAAUUUCCAGAAAUUGAAAAAUUUAAAAUAAUUCAAAUCUGUCACUAAAGGGCCUAUAGUGAUAUAACUGUUACUAUAGGUGUUCUUCUUCAAAUUCAGAACUUCAUAAUCGGUUCUCAAGUCAGCUAGUUUGGCCGGCUAUAACUUUCAAAUAUCGGAAUCAUAAUUAAAUGAUUUAAACAUUAAACAAUUCCAUUAUCAUUAAUAGUUUAAUUAAUACUAAACUAUUAAUGAAACCAUUGCCAAAAUAUAAAAGUUAUUUAUAAUAACUCAAACUAUUUUUAAAACAUUUAUAUUACCCAAAUAAUUACCAUUAAUAUUUAAAUAUUAAUGUACUAUUUAUCCAAAUAUUAAAAGUCAUUAAUUAUAACUUAAAAUAUUUUUAAAUCCUUAAUAUCCUCUUUAAAUGGUUUUUAAAUAAGUAAAACCAUUUUUAAACUAUUUAUUUAAUAUUAAUCAUUAAAUAAACUAAAUAUCAUUAAUAUUAUCUUAAUAUCAUUAAUAUUUAAUUAUUAAUGAAAUUAUCAUUUAAAUAUUAAAAGUUAUAUUUUAUAACUUAAAAUAUUUUUAAAUACCUUAUUUUCAUUUAAAAUGAUUUUUAUAAUAUUAAAAUCAUUUUUAAACUAAAUUAUUUAAUAUAAUCAUUAAAUAACUUUAAUAUCAUUAAUAAUUAUUAAUUAAUGAAAUUCAUCACAAAAUAUUAAAAGUCAUCACAAAUAACUCAUUUACAUAAUCAAUUCCAAGCCAAAAUAAACAUAGUAAACUAACUAGUUUAUUAACAACACUAACUAAACUUCAAAAAUUCAAACUUUAACUAACAAUUAAAAAUAAUAACAUUACAAAAAUUAAAUAAGAAACAUACCCGGAAAUACGAAUUCCACAGACUGAAUACGCACUUCCACGCCAAAAUUUAACUAAGGAGAUCUUUAUAAAAAGUUCUCCCACAACAAAGCCUUUCUCAAAAAUUG